AGGUGACCUGCGGAAGGAUCAUUGUCGAAGCCUGCCCAGCAGAACGACCCGCGAACGUGUUAUCGAAAAACAACGGGACGGUGGGGCGGAAUCCCGCCCCUCGUCCCGCCUCGCCUCGGUGCCCUUCGCCGCCGCCUCCCCCGCGCCGCACGGUGUCGCGGGAUGCACGGCCCCGGGCCUCCGUGGCGAAACGAACAACCCCCGGCGUGAAUCGCGCCAAGGAAUCUGAAUAGAAAGAAGCACGUCCCCCGUCGCCGCCCCGUCCGCGGUGCGCGUGCUGCGGGGACGCUGCGACUUCGUCGUGAAUACACAAAACGACUCUCGGCAACGGAUAUCUCGGCUCUCGCAUCGAUGAAGAACGUAGCGAAAUGCGAUACUUGGUGUGAAUUGCAGAAUCCCGUGAACCAUCGAGUCUUUGAACGCAAGUUGCGCCCCAAGCCGUCAGGCCGAGGGCACGUCUGCCUGGGUGUCACGCAUCGUCGCUCCCAUCCGACCCUUCCCCGAACGGAACGGGUUGCGUUGUGGGCGGACAAUGGCCUCCCGUUCGCGCAUCGCUCGCGGUUGGCCCAAAAUCGAGUCAUCGGCGACCACGGUGCCGCGACGAUCGGUGGUAACGCUUCGAGCUGCCUCUUUCGUAGUCGCGUGCCGCCGUCGACCCCGGCUCUCCGACCCUUUCGGCACCCCAAAACACGGUGCUCGCGUCGCGACCCCAGGUCAGGCGGGAUUACCCGCUGAGU
rnacentral:rRNA from 1 species